rfam:Callithrix jacchus chromosome 22, whole genome shotgun sequence
UCUCAUACUGUGACCCUCCAAAGGGAAGUCCUUUCUGUUUUCUGGAAAGAAAGAAAUGCCUUCCCUUUAGAGUGUUACCGUUUGAGA